UUGAACGCUGGCGGCAGGCCUAACCCAUGCAAGUCGCACGGUAACAGGAAGAAGCUUGCUUCUUUGCUGACGAGUGGCGGACGGGUGAGUAAUGUCUGGGAAACUGCCUGAUGGAGGGGGAUAACUACUGGAAACGGUAGCUAAUACCGCAUAACGUCGCAAGACCAAAGAGGGGGACCUUCGGGCCUCUUGCCAUCGGAUGUGCCCAGAUGGGAUUAGCUAGUAGGUGGGGUAACGGCUCACCUAGGCGACGAUCCCUAGCUGGUCUAAGAGGAUGACCAGCCACACUGGAACUGAGACACGGUCCAGACUCCUACGGGAGGCAGCAGUGGGGAAUAUUGCACAAUGGGCGCAAGCCUGAUGCAGCCAUGCCGCGUGUAUGAAGAAGGCCUUCGGGUUGUAAAGUACUUUCAGCGGGGAGGAAGGGAGUAAAGUUAAUACCUUUGCUAAUUGACGUUACCCGCAGAAGAAGCACCGGCUAACUCCGUG
rnacentral:rRNA from 1 species